GUAAAAAAACUAUUGUUCUAACGCUAUGUAGUUGCAUUCUUCAAGUUCUUCGUGUGAACAAAGUUGUCCUAAGAUCCUCGAGUGCAAGAAUCAUAGAUUUUGACAACAUCUGCAAAGUGUCGCCUGAAAUAAAAAUUUAUACAACCUUAGAUUUAUGUAAAAUUGCUUCUAAUAUAUAAUGAAGUAAAACUGCACUAUGUGUCGAAUAUCAUGGUCGAGCAAUCAUUUCAUCAAAUAGAUCUUCAAGAGUUUGAUAAUAAAAAUACACCUCAUGCAGGCUUGAAAUGCAUCAAAUAUGCAUAUUACGGAGAGCAUAUCGAGAGAAGUUGAUUCACAAAGGAUAAUGCAAAAACCUGUAAAGUGCAACAACAACUUAUCAAUUAAACACUCAAAAAACCACGCUCCUACCAGAAAAGAACACAAAUAGAUCCACAUGUAUACAAAUUCCAAAAAAGAAAAAACACAAAGUUCUAGAUUAUCAAUGCAAGCACCAAAGACUACUAAUACCUUCUCAACAAAGAACAAAAGGGUCGCUGAUAUUUCAUAACACAAGCAUAAUAUCAUGGCAUGCAUUUUCAUCGACUCUUAUGAACAACAUUGUUUCCCAAGGCAUCAAUAAUCAUGCUAAAUUGGAAAACCAAAAAAGAAAACCAACUGAGAAUAAAUACUACCAAAUACCAAUAGAAUGUUCUGAUCAGCUAAAGAUUCAUGCACUUUAUAUAAACUGGAUACUUAAUUUUAUCAUAAAAAUAAUAUAUAGAGAAAAUAAAAAUAAUAUCUUGAUGGUUACCUUUCUUUGCAUUUUAAAUAUCACCAGUUCAAUGCAAUAAGUUCAUCAUUGCAAUGCCACUUUUAUAGCCUUGGCGAAGAGAUUUCUAUUACUCUAGUGAAACAAGAAUGAUGGAAUAUUCCAACCUGAAAACACAUGGAGAUAAUAAAUUCUUCUGUUUGAUAACUUAUUGCUUAUAGUUUCCAUGAGUAAAUAGGUGGAACUAAAUAGCACCAUGAAAGAGAGUGGAUAUCCCAUCGAACCAGUCCCCUGCAUAUGUAAGAAGAAAACAAGACAACAUUUAGGUUUCCUUGCUGGAAAGCAGAGAUAACAAACCUGUAAAUUGAAUAAGCAUCUUAAAUGAGUGGCUCAGUGCCUUCCCAGGAUCCCUUGCUUUCACCAAAAAAGAAGAGCUAAAUUGCAUUGCACUACACACCUCUCGCUAUAAACCUGAAAUUAGUACCGAGGACAGUGUAAUUGACGUAGUCAAUGAUUCAACAUGAAAUUCUCUAUUCCCUCACCAAGACUAAAAGGUAAAAUAAAUAAUACAAGAGACACAAAAAAGAAUGACAUCAAUAUAUAGAAAAUCAAGUAGUUUAAACAAUUUUUUAAACACAUUGGCAAUUAUUAGUAAAUUUAAAUGUUCUUGGCAAGAGAUCAUGCUAUCCUAACAAAGACAUUUGAAAGCCAACUUCUAUGGUUUAGAAACUUGAAAAAACCAGCUUUAUCCAAGACAUAGAGAAUAUCAUUAUUGCUCAAGUAACAGAAACCAUGUGCAACAAAGUCCUUCAUCUCCAGCUUCUAUUAAUGGUUCAGGCUGAAAUAAAAUAAAAAUAAAAAUAAUAGCAGGAGGAAGAAAUUGGAUCAUAAAUUCAGUAAAUAUAAUAUUUCAUUCCACACUUCUAUAACUUACCUCAUGAAUCAAGACAUGCUUUACUGCAAUGCGAGAUUAAUAUAACACGAAUUGUAACCCUACUAGAAGACAAACCAAAUAAAUAUAUGAGAUAGUUCUAGAGCAAUAAUACUAAGUAUUCAUCAUUACAUUGAAAACUCAAUUUGUAUAAACAUCUAACUAGCUUCAAAGUAUACAAAAUUGCUAAAGACUGCAAAGUAUUACGAUAGUGGAAUUUGCAUAGAUGCAUACCUUAAUUCUCUACAAACGACAUCAACUUUCUAAACAAAACAAACUUCCUGAGGAUUCCAAUACCAUACUUCAACUUUCUAAAUAAUAUCAACAUCAAAUUUCUAUAUAUUAAAAAGGACGAUACUAGAGCAUACAUAAUACAUUUGCAGUUCAAUUCUGCCAAAAUCUUAGUCCUCUUAGAAUAAAAGAGAUAUCAAACACCAAACACCAACACUAAAAAUUUUCUUAGAGAAAAGGUAAUUAAAGGGAGAAUUUCAAUUCAUCAAAUACCAGUUAGAAUUCGAUAUAUAUCGCGAACCGAAAAUAAGUAAAAAUUCUCCCUGCUCAAGCUGUCGACCAACUGUAGUUGCUGCCCCCCUUUCGCUGCCAAAAUUGGUAACGCUAUUACCUCCUUUGGCUUUCACCCACAUCAGCCGCUUGUCAUUUGGUCGGAUUGGCACCGUGCACACCUGAAGUGCCGACCGCCAAAUGAUCUGCCGCUUGAACUAUAUAUCCACUUCGCAAUCUGCCAUCUUGCCUUCUUCAAAGCACAAACCCUUCCCCCUUUCACCAAUUACAUAUGUAAUAGGAUGAAAAUAAAGAUUUUGGCUGUGGCGUAAAUUGAAUUGAUAAAAAUUGGGAAAGUUCUAGUUGUGUUGGUGAAAAAAAGAGACUUAAACACGUUGAUUAGAAAAAGUACAAAGGCGGUUAAUUCUUUUCUAUUUUUCCAAGUAAAAAAAAUGUAAAAAAAUUAGUGGGAGAGUUGGACUUGGCGCCACUUUAAAGUAAA
rnacentral:lncRNA from 1 species